rnacentral:tRNA from 1 species
GCCCCGUUGGUCUAGCGGUCAGGACGCCCGGCUUUCACCCGGGAGAACACCGGUUCAAAUCCGGUACGGGGUGCUA